AACGCGAAGAACCUUACCAGCCCUUGACAUGCCUCGUUUGGUCGCCAGAGAUGGCUUCCUUCCCGCAAGGGGCGAGAGCACAGGUGCUGCAUGGCUGUCGUCAGCUCGUGUCGUGAGAUGUUGGGUUAAGUCCCGCAACGAGCGCAACCCUCGCCCUUAGUUGCCAUCAUUUAGUUGGGCACUCUAAGGGGACUGCCGGUGAUAAGCCGGAGGAAGGUGGGGAUGACGUCAAGUCCUCAUGGCCCUUACGGGCUGGGCUACACACGUGCUACAAUGGCGGUGACAGAGGGACGCAAAGGGGCAACCCUUCGCAAAUCUCAAAAAGCCGUCUCAGUUCGGAUUGGGGUCUGCAACUCGACCCCAUGAAGUUGGAAUCGCUAGUAAUCGCAGAUCAGCACGCUGCGGUGAAUACGUUCCCGGGCCUUGUACACACCGACGCGUA
rnacentral:rRNA from 1 species